GAUGAACGCUGGCGGCGUGCCUAAUACAUGCAAGUCGAGCGAACGGACGAGAAGCUUGCUUCUCUGAUGUUAGCGGCGGACGGGUGAGUAACACGUGGAUAACCUACCUAUAAGACUGGGAUAACUUCGGGAAACCGGAGCUAAUACCGGAUAAUAUUUUGAACCGCAUGGUUCAAAAGUGAAAGACGGUCUUGCUGUCACUUAUAGAUGGAUCCGCGCUGCAUUAGCUAGUUGGUAAGGUAACGGCUUACCAAGGCAACGAUGCAUAGCCGACCUGAGAGGGUGAUCGGCCACACUGGAACUGAGGCACGGUCAAGACUACUACGGGAGGCAGCAGUAGGGAAUCUUCCGCAAUGGGCGAAAGCCUGACGGAGCAACGCCGCGUGAGUGAUGAAGGUCUUCGGAUCGUAAAACUCUGUUAUUAGGGAAGAACAUAUGUGUAAGUAACUGUGCACAUCUUGACGGUACCUAAUCAGAAAGCCACGGCUAACUACGUG
rnacentral:rRNA from 1 species